CAUGUUCAUCCUGCUUGCACUGUGUCUGAUUCCAAGAGGAUUUGCGGUGAAACAGACUCCUAACCUCUUUGUUAAAGAAGGCGUGAAUGUCACUCUCAGCUGCUCCCAAAUUAAUUCUACCGACAAUGGUAUGUACUGGUUCUGGCAGAGGCCGGGGAAGCCUCUGGAGCUGAUUGUGUACUCCUAUGUUGGAUUGCAGACAAUAGAGGGGCAAUUUGACAAGAUGUUCUCUGCUGAGCGCCAGAGUGCUACUCUAAAACUGACCCUGCAUAAAGCCCAGCCUGCAGACAGUGCUCUGUUCUUCUGUGCUAAGCAGGAUGCACAGCAGUGCAGACCAAUGUGUAAGAUUGACAAAAACUGACUAGGAACCAGGGAAGUGAACACCUGCUGAAGGCAUCC